AGGUGGCCGAACUCAAGCACUAGACUUUUAAUCUAGCCAUGGUAAACACAAUAUUACCCCU
rnacentral:tRNA from 1 species